AUACAGAGGGUGCAAGCGUUAAUCGGAUUUACUGGGCGUAAAGCGCGCGUAGGUGGCUAAUUAAGUCAAAUGUGAAAUCCCCGAGCUUAACUUGGGAAUUGCAUUCGAUACUGGUUAGCUAGAGUAUGGGAGAGGAUGGUAGAAUUCCAGGUGUAGCGGUGAAAUGCGUAGAGAUCUGGAGGAAUACCGAUGGCGAAGGCAGCCAUCUGGCCGAAUGCGGACACUGAGGUGCGAAAGCAUGGGGAGCAAACAGGAUUAGAUACCCGGGUAGUCCAUGCCGUAAACGAUGUCUACUAGCCGUUGGGGCCCUUGAGGCUUUAGUGGCGCAGCUAACGCGAUAAGUAGACCGCCUGGGGAGUACGGUCGCAAGACUAAAACUCAAAUGAAUUGACGGGG
rnacentral:rRNA from 1 species